rnacentral:rRNA from 1 species
CCUACGGGUGGCAGCAGUGAGGAAUAUUGGUCAAUGGGCGAGAGUCUGAACCAGCCAAGUAGCGUGAAGGAUGACUGCCCUAUGGGUUGUAAACUUCUUUUAUAAGGGAAUAAAAUGUUGCACGUGUGGCUUUUUGUAUGUACUUUAUGAAUAAGGAUCGGCUAACUCCGUGCCAGCAGCCGCGGUAAUACGGAGGAUCCGAGCGUUAUCCGGAUUUAUUGGGUUUAAAGGGAGCGUAGAUGGGUUGUUAAGUCAGUUGUGAAAGUUUGCGGCUCAACCGUAAAAUUGCAAUUGAUACUGGCAGUCGUGAGUACAGUUGAGGUAGGCGGAAUUCGUGGUGUAGCGGUGAAAUGCUUAGAUAUCACGAAGAACUCCGAUUGCGAAGGCAGCUUACUAAACUGCAACUGACACUGAUGCUCGAAAGUGUGGGUAUCAAACAGGAUUAGAUACCCUGGUAGUC